rnacentral:rRNA from 1 species
CCUACGGGAGGCAGCAGUGAGGAAUAUUGGUCAAUGGGCGUAAGCCUGAACCAGCCAAGUCGCGUGAGGGAUGACGGUUCUAUGGAUUGUAAACCUCUUUUAUAAGGGAAUAAAGUGUGGGACGUGUCCUAUUUUGUAUGUACCUUAUGAAUAAGGAUCGGCUAACUCCGUGCCAGCAGCCGCGGUAAUACGGAGGAUCCGAGCGUUAUCCGGAUUUAUUGGGUUUAAAGGGUGCGUAGGCGGGAUUGUAAGUCAGCGGUGAAAGUUCGGGGCUCAACCACGGAAGUGCCGUUGAAAUUGGGGGUCGUGAGUGUGUUAGAGGCAGGCGGAAUGCGUGGUGUAGCGGUGAAAUGCUUAGAUAUCACGCAGAACCCCGAUUGCGAAGGCAGCCUGCCGGGCCAUAACUGACGCUGAUGCACGAAAGCGUGGGUAUCAAACAGGAUUAGAUACCCCUGUAGUC